AAUGCUACAAAGGUGCUGGAAUCUAUCCCCGCCAUGUCCCCUUCAAGCAACACUGCCUAUCGUUUCAGCUAUAAUUACUUGUACUGAGUGAAAUGGCAUCACUGCAUAGAUUUCCUUUUCACUCUUUCGCUGAACUGUCAUUCAAAACAACAAGGCGAGUACGUAUUAGCUGUUUGAAGAAACAGUCGCAAAUAGCAUCUUCUGUUACAAUUACAACUAUUUUCCACGUUUUGUUGCUGUUGCGGCUAAUAUUUCAUGUGCUAGAAAAAACACGAACACCAUCCUGGGGAACACAUACAGCUGGAAACACCAGCGAUUGAGAAAUGACUUUAAUAGAGCGAAAUCGAAGCGUUUAUCUUACGACGAGUCUUACUCAACCGAUGAUAUCUACAAAUAAGAUGAGGAUGAUAAAAUGAAUGAUGGUAGUAUUGAAUACUGGUGUUGAUCACUUUUUAUCUCAUUUCAGUUGUUGCUGCUGAUUGUUCUCAUAACAACGGCAUUUUUCGACUUGAUCGGUGAUGUUUACGGCCAAGAUGAGGAUGCAUUGAAUGAAGGUAGUUUUGACAGAGACGAUGGAGAAUCAGUAAUUUUGAAAAUGAAGUAGUCGCCCCGAUCGGUUUCCACUGAAAAAUCAUCCACAACAACUGAGAAGUAGAUCACAGUAACAUGAAGAAGAUUCAUUAAGAAUGGAACAUGAUGGAAAACUGGAAGAUGAAAGUAUCGAAUAAGGAUUAAAAAAACGAACAACAAUCAAUC